UACGGAGGGAGCUAGCGUUGUUCGGAAUUACUGGGCGUAAAGCGCACGUAGGCGGCUUUGUAAGUUAGAGGUGAAAGCCCGGGGCUCAACCCCGGAAUUGCCUUUAAGACUGCAUCGCUUGAAUCCGGGAGAGGUGAGUGGAAUUCCGAGUGUAGAGGUGAAAUUCGUAGAUAUUCGGAAGAACACCAGUGGCGAAGGCGGCUCACUGGCCCGGUAUUGACGCUGAGGUGCGAAAGCGUGGGGAGCAAACAGG
rnacentral:rRNA from 1 species